rnacentral:rRNA from 1 species
UACAGAGGGUGCGAGCGUUUAAUCGGAAUUACUGGGCGUAAAGCGCACGUAGGCGGCUUGGUAUGUCGGGUGUGAAAUCCCCGGGCUCAACCUGGGAACUGCAUCCGAAACUGCCUUGCUAGAGUAUGGGAGAGGGAAGUGGAAUUUCCGGUGUAGCGGUGAAAUGCGUAGAUAUCGAGAGGAACACCUGCGGCGAAGGCGGAUUGCUGGGCUGAUACUGACGCUGAGGCGCGAAAGCCAGGGGAGCGAACGGG